rnacentral:rRNA from 1 species
AGUGAACGCUGGCGGUAGGCCUAACACAUGCAAGUCGAACGGCAGCACAGUAAGAGCUUGCUCUUACGGGUGGCGAGUGGCGGACGGGUGAGGAAUACAUCGGAAUCUACUUUUUCGUGGGGGAUAACGUAGGGAAACUUACGCUAAUACCGCAUACGACCUACGGGUGAAAGCAGGGGAUCUUCGGACCUUGCGCGAUUGAAUGAGCCGAUGUCGGAUUAGCUAGUUGGCGGGGUAAAGGCCCACCAAGGCGACGAUCCGUAGCUGGUCUGAGAGGAUGAUCAGCCACACUGGAACUGAGACACGGUCCAGACUCCUACGGGAGGCAGCAGUGGGGAAUAUUGGACAAUGGGCGCAAGCCUGAUCCAGCCAAACCGCGUGGGUGAAGAAGGCCUUCGGGUUGUAAAGCCCUUUUGUUGGGAAAGAAAAGCAGCAGGUUAAUACCCCGCUGUUCUGACGGGACCCAAAGAAUAAGCACCGGCUAACUUCGU